rnacentral:rRNA from 1 species
GACAGAGGGGCCGAGCGUUAGGCGGAAUCACUGGGCUUAAAGCGUGUGUAGGCGGACCGUUAAGUACCUUGUGAAAUCCCCCGGCUCAACCGGGGAACGGCUGGGUAUACUGGCGGUCUUGAGCCAUCCAGGGGCAGCGGAACAGACGGUGGAGCGGUGAAAUGCGUAGAUAUCGUCUGGAACGCCGAAGGUGAAAACAGACUGCUGGGGAUGCGCUGACGCUGAGACACGAAAGCCAGGGGAGCGAACGGG